CCGUGCGUGAUAAUGGCGCGGCAUUCAGAAUAAAACCGCGAACUCACGAACUCAUAUGCCAUUUAAACUACAAUAUAAAUCACGGGAUACGUGAGCGCCGCCGACGACGGGCCCGUGCCUUCUUGAGGCUCUUCAAUGCCAAAGCGGUGGGUGGUCUGAGCAAAUAACUCACCAGGGCUCAUGGACCACUUACAUCACUAU
rnacentral:misc_RNA from 1 species